GUGGGGAAUCUUGCACAAUGGGGGAAACCCUGAUGCAGCGACGCCGCGUGAGCGAUGAAGCCCUUCGGGGUGUAAAGCUCUUUCGGCAGGGACGAUUAUGACGGUACCUGCGGAAGAAGCUGCGGCUAACUACGUGCCAGCAGCCGCGGUAAUACGUAGGCAGCAAGCGUUGUUCGGAGUUACUGGGCGUAAAGAGUGUGUAGGCGGUCUGCUAAGUCCGGUGUGAAAUCUCCUGGCUCAACUGGGAGGGUGCGCCGGAAACUGGCAGGCUGGAGUGCGGGAGAGGGAAGCGGAAUUCCUGGUGUAGCGGUGAAAUGCGUAGAUAUCAGGAGGAACACCCGCGGUGUAGACGGCUUCCUGGACCGUUACUGACGCUGAGACACGAAAGCGUGGGGAGCAAACAGGAUUAGAUACCCUGGUAGUCC
rnacentral:rRNA from 1 species